UGGAGCUUGCGGUUUAAUUGGAUUCAACGCCGGAAAUCUUACCGGGACCGACAGCAAUAUGAAGGCCAGGCUGAAGACUUUGCCGGAUUAGCUGAGAGGUGGUGCAUGGCCGUCGUCAGUUCGUACUGUGAAGCAUCCUGUUAAGUCAGGCAACGAGCGAGACCCACGCCCACAGUUGCCAGCGUACUCUCUGGAGUGACGGGUACACUGUGGGGACCGCCGCUGCUAAAGCGGAGGAAGGAAUGGGCAACGGUAGGUCAGUAUGCCCCGAAUAUCCCGGGCUACACGCGGGCUACAAUGGGUGGGACAAUGGGUAUCGACACCGAAAGGUGAAGGCAAUCUCCUAAACCCAUCCGUAGUUCGGAUUGUGGGCUGCAACUCGCCCACAUGAAGCUGGAAUCUGUAGUAAUCGUGUCUCAAAAUGGCACGGUGAAUAUGUCCCUGCUCCUU
rnacentral:rRNA from 1 species